GAUGUUGUUGGACUACAGUUCCAAGCAGUCCUUGCCACACAGCCAAUCAUGACAAAGGCUGGGAGUUACAGCACAACUACACCUGGAAGCCCAUGUAAUUUCCAUCCCUGAUUUAACUUCAACUGCCAGCUUCAACUGGAGUGGUCCCAUUGAAUCAAAUGGAAUGGCACAGUGGGCACUGUGGAACUCCUCUGGUUGUGAUUUAAACCUUCAUUAGUUAAAGUUAAAGUGAGAAUAUUUUGGAAAAAAUCUUACAUGAAAAACAGCUGGAACAAUUUGACCUUUUAAUUGUAAGUUAAAAUGGUAUGAAGCCAAAAUGAAUAUGAAUACAGGAAGAUGAAACAUGAUACAGUUUCGAGACAGAGAAAAGGUUUUUGGCUGAUCAAAAACAGGAAAUGACAGAAGUCUCAUGAGAAUGCCAGUCUCAAAAUAUUUCCAACCCAGUAAGUAUUAUAUGAUUAUGUGAAUGCAGUAGCCUCAGAAGCCUUUCGGGCCUGCCUAUUCCUAGUAUAAAUGUGGAAAAACACCACUGGUUGUAUCAAUAUAUGGUGUAUAUUUUAUUAUAAUUACAGGAACAGUUACUCAGCAGGACAUCAUUCUACUGUUUAAGGGGUUUCCAUUGGUAGCCAGCCGAGGGAAACCUGGUAGUUGCAAAGCCGUCUGUACAUUUGCUGGCGAGAGCUACGAGGACUUCUUUGGCUGCCACCAACCGAGGGAGGCUC
rnacentral:lncRNA from 1 species